rnacentral:rRNA from 1 species
GUGAGGAAUAUUGCGCAAUGGAGGCAACUCUGACGCAGCCAUGCCGCGUGCAGGAAGAAGGCGCUACGCGUUGUAAACUGCUUUUAACCGGGAAGAAACCCCAGGACGUGUCCUGGGUUGACGGUACCGGAGGAAUAAGCACCGGCUAACUUCGUGCCAGCAGCCGCGGUAAUACGAAGGGUGCAAGCGUUAUCCGGAUUCAUUGGGUUUAAAGGGUGCGUAGGCGGAGCGUUAAGUCAGUGGUGAAAUCCUGCAGCUUAACUGUAGACUUGCCAUUGAUACUGGCGCUCUUGAGUGCGCUUGAAGUGGACGGAAUGUGCCGUGUAGCGGUGAAAUGCUUAGAUAUGGCACAGAACACCAAUUGCGAAGGCAGCUCACUAAGGCGAUACUGACGCUGAGGCACGAAAGCGUGGGGAUCGAACAGGAUUAGAUACCCUGGUAGUCC